UGGGUGGUGGGUUAAGUGAUAAUUGAGAAUUUGAUUGCUCGCCAACUGAGGAGUCUAGGGCUCUGCUAGAAAUGGCUCAGUUCUUGAAACAAACUAAGCCCUCAUUAUGUGUUGUUAUCAGUGACUAAGUGAUUGGAUAAAUUAUGAAAUAGCUCUUCAUAUGUACAUCCUCAUCAGAUUUUUUAAAAAGUAAUUAUCCUGUUUAUUGGGCCUAUUAGGUCCUCCAUCUUCCCAUUAAAAAAAAAAUCACUGGUAUUUUCUUACUCAGAUAGUACAUUAAGAAAUUAUAUUAGUAAUAAAACAAAAACACUCAGAAAAUUGCACUUUGACUGCUGAUUUUGCCCCUUAAAACUAAACUGCAACUGAUUAACUGAUCAACUAAACUUAAUGUUCAGCUCUUAAGCCCAAGUCCUCCCAAGGUCAACAGCACCUUUGUGGGCACCCAGAGCUGAACUGUUCUAAUGUAUUGCAGAAGGAGGUGUUUGUAAGCAGCAUCUGUGAAGGCAGGUCCUUAGAAACCACACUGAUUCCCCCCAAAACCAAUGACGUACAGUGGAAAGAAACAGUCUGUUUUGAACUAUAUCGCAAAGUAAAAGGUAUUCCUUAUUAUUAAGGGACAGAACCUGAAAAUGUAAAUUGCACAUAAUCUUUUAGCUUGGAAUUUCAUAUGAACCUGUACCAUCCAUUAUCUGCCCACAGUUUGUACUUACUAUGGACAAUAAUGUUCACCCCUACUAAGGUUUAUUUUCAUUCCUUACAUAGAUAGCAUUAUUUUAAAUUUUUAAAGCUAAACUUACUAUGGAAAUUUCCAGAUAAAGCUUAGAGUGAUUUUCUUAUCUGAUUAAAGAAUAAUAUACAAACACUAUAGAGAGGUUGGCUGCAAAUCUUGCAUAAUGGCAAAAACAAACACCAUUCUGAAGAAACAGAGAUAAAGAAAAAAUGGAAAACAAACUUCAAAACGUGUCACAGGGAAUAAAUUCCUACCAAGAAAUAUGCUCUCUUCUAAACUUCAUAUUUAUAACUUUGGAAACACAUUUUAUUUCAAGCAGAAGCAAUAUAGCAAAUGCAUUUUACAAGGAAACACAUAAACUUAUACACACCAACUUUUAAACUUUAUGGGAGCAGUUGUAGAAGCCUGGUAUAAAGAUGAUAUCUGGCAAAAUAAAGGCUUGGGGAAGUAUUAAUUGGCCCCAAUGGGUCUUCCUUCUGGGGAAAAGAGAAACUGAAAACUAAAAUGAGAGUCUUCCCAAGGCUCAUGAUAUGAUUUCCGGCUCUGAGUGUUAGUAACCAGUAUCAUUCUUAGGUCUUUAUAAAAUGUUUAGUAACCCUUUCUUAUUAUCAGGAAGGAGCACUGAUGUCUAUCCACAUACAUCUGCCUCAGUCUAGCUUAAGACCCUCCAGAACUCAGUAUCACCUCAACAAGCCAACUUCAGACCCUCACCAUCUUCUCCUUCCACAAUCUCACCACCCACCCCAAGGCAUCUACUCAUUAUUUUCCAGUCAUAGAUCAGCAUACUUCAAUUAGCUCUCUCAGUUAAUGUCUCAGCAUAAGGCACAGAAAGCCCAAUGCAGAGAGGCAUUUACCGUGUCAUAUGACUGGGGAUUUCAGGCUUGAAGUCGUCUUCAGUAUGGUAUGAUUCAGAGAUUGAUUCAGGGAGGCUAAAUCAAUCACCAAGGCCUGGGGGUGAGGGGAUGGAGUGAUGUUUGAUGUAGGUCAUGUGACUCGCUCCCAGAAGUAGGAGUGAAGUAAACUUUCCCAGAACCACAUGGGUCCAUAAGCAAAAGUCAGGGGCUGUUGAGAAGGUGGAAGGGGAGAUGGAUGUUAAAAGAGGCAAUUACCAAGUGCCGACUGCAGCAUACGUAACACGAUUCUUCCUCCACUUUGUACUUUCUCAUUACUCGUCCUGUCAGUCAAAUUUCUUAUCAUCCAUACUUUGAAGCUCAACUCAUAUCCAAUCUCCUCAGAAAACCUUUCCCAAGUCACCAGCUCUUUCUUACAUCCACUGCUAUAAUACUUAACAGUCCAUAUUGUACUACCCAGAGUGCUGGUUUAUACAUGUACUUCAGUGAGUUUCCAUUAUUUAUGGAUAAAAUAUUUCAUUCCCCAAAGUUUUUAAAGCAUUUCGAAGAAUUGAGUGUUGCCUUUUACUUCACAUACACCCCAUAAAUCCUAGGACAACACUGGAAACAGGGCAGACACACAAAAAGUAUGAGUUAACAAACAAAGCCUUGCAAAUAGCUAUGCCAUUCAUAAAGGUCAACUUUGAUCAUAAUGCAACAUUACUCAAAAUUCCACUGUUUCCCAUCACCUAUAGGGUGAACUCCAGGAUCCACGGCAUUACAAAUAUGGCAAGGUGGUAUUUUUCAAACUGUAACCAUUUUUUUAAUACCAGUUUUUCAUCACCUAGCCGCCCCCUUCCCCUCAACUCCCAUUAAGUCAGCUGGCCAUUUUCAUGAAUAUUGCCUCAGGAGAGGGAGUUGAAACCAGGAAGGAAAAAAAAAAGCAGAAAAGCUAGUAUUUCUUUUUGGUUUUCCAAAGGCAUAAUUCUUUUUUUUUUUUUUAGGGACAAACCCGCAGCAUAUGGAAGUUCCCAGACUAGGGGUUGAAUCAGAGCUAUAGUUGCCAGCCUACACCACAGCCAUAGCAACACAGGAUCUGAGCUGUGUCUGUGACCUACACCACAGUUCACGGCAACGGGGGAUCCUUAACCCACUGAGCGAGGCCAGGGAUUGAACCCACAACCUCAUGGAUACUAGUCUGGUUAAUUUCCACUGUAUCAUAAUGGGGACGCCCCCAAAGGCAUAAUUCUUAAAUGAUCUCUCUGACAAUAAAAGAUUUCCCCAUGUUGGAGAGAAAGCUAAGGAAGAAAGACAUGAGAGAAGAGAGAUUGGUGGGGUUCUAGAGGAAGAGGGUUAACACACCAGGGCCACAGAAACAUAGAUCACUUUAGGAGAGGACCCUUUAGGAGCUGAGUGGACAGCCCAUGAGGUCCUCCAGCUCAACCCAGGGAGCACACGGCAGAAUCACUGCUUCAGAAGCUCCGUCAUCGUGCUUAUCUCCAGCUUCUGGAGAGGGACCUUCUUUGCCAACAGCUGGUUAGCUCUGCCUGAGGACAGACCAGACCUGAGACCAGAGGUACCUUUUCCACAGGUACAAAAAUCCAUGUAGACCAGCCUCCUUGCAGUGUCCAGAAUAAAGAAAGUGAAGUCUGGGCGUCCGAGGGGUGAUCUUGGUAGUAAACGUAAAGCUUCGUCCCACAACUUUUACCCUGGGAAAGCCUGGGAUGUGAGGGGUGGGGACGGCUGCUCACCAGGACCGUGGUUAAACCUAAACCUCCUCUCUCACCAGUCCCGCCCCAGGGGCAAAGCUGCGUCAGAGAGCCGGAAUAUGCAUGGGUCUUUUCCCUCUCAAGAAACCGUCCCUGUUUAGCCAAACUUUUUCCUAUAGGGAGGGUAUGUAAGAGUGACUAAGACAAAAAUAUGGCACAGCUUUGACUGUAUCAGGGGCCAUAUUCAUUCACUCAAUUUCAUUCAACACAGUAUUAGGUUUGCUCCAAACAAAAUGCUGGCCCACUGUGCUAAGUGCCAGGAAUAAAAAGAUGAAUGAGACCUGAUAUUUGUCAUCAGGAAAUGUGCAAAUACGUCACACGUACAUAAAUAGAUAAUUACAGCAAAAUGUAUAAAGUGCUGAAAUGAAGCUCUUCAGUGGUGUUAAGGGAUUAUAAGAGGGGAAGUAACUCUAGGGGAGAAAGGUUUUGCUCCAUGGUAAGAGAUAUAAGAAAUGCACAGAGACAAGAGAUGCGGAGUUUGCCGGCCUAAAGAAUGAAUCUCGUAACACUUCAUUAGGCCGCAGGCCAGCCUGGAAGAAACUCAGAGAUCACUCAAUGCAAGCUUCUAGGGAUCUGGAAAAGCUAACCUUAGCAUCUGGCCUGGGAAAGAUCAGGAGCAACUGAAGAGCCCAAUCCCUCUCCAACAUCCUGGAAAAAUAAAAUAGCUAGAGCAAAUCCGACCCUCAUGCACCUAUGAAAAUAAAACCAAGAACAUUCGACUUCUUUAUGAAAUCUUUCUCUUACACUUAAGAAAGAGAUGAGAAGUGAACAUUGAUCCCAAACUUCGAUUCUACCCCCCAAUCUCCUCAGUGAUGGCUGACAGCUUCACUUUUUAAAUUCGAAUUGUAUUGAGCAUGGGCUGAUCUGCAGAAGGGCCAUGUAAAGUUGUUCUGACACCAAAGGAGGUACCACAUAUACCGUACAUGAAUUAUCUACUUUUAUUAUGUAUAUUUAACACAAUUUGGUGUUUCCUCCAUGUUUCAAAAGAUCCCCCUUCCCUAGGACAUGUCCCCAGUUAAAGGUAAUCCUAACUGCAGGCAGAAAUAAUUCCACUCUCCAAUUAUUAAAACUCUGGGGAAGAGUGCCCUGGUGGCUCAGUGGGUUAAGGACCCAACACUGUCACUGCUGUGACUCGGAUCGCUGCCGUGGCAUGGGUUCCAUCCCUGGCCUGGGAACGUCACAGGCCAUGGGCAUGGCCAAAAAAGAAAUUCUGAGGAAAAGCAAAAUCAGGCUUUUUUCUUGUUUCGAGAGCAAGAUUUCACUAUAAUGAAUACAGUAAUAAUAACAGCUGAGUGAAGAAGUACAGCAAAGCUCUUCUUUGGAAGGUACAGUCUUCCUAGUGCUUACCGAGGCGAAAUUUAAUAUGAGAAACCCUGGAUAAGGAAAACUGCAAAGAUGAAGGGGAGGACUGCCAUAUGGAGAGGGCCAGGGACGUUUCGGGCACUUCCUCACUGCAUCCAGGCCAACUCUAUGAAAAAAAGUAUUUGGAAACUGAGGCUUAGGCAUGAAGUUGUUUAUGCCAGAACAUGCAGCCAGCAAAUGGAGGUGCUAAAUGCAGAACCCCCGUCUCAGCCUCUCUCCUCUAUAAUAGCCUUCCUCUGUUUAACCUUGUAUGACUUCUACGUAUCUGGGCGGAAACCCCUUAUCUCUCUCAGAAGUUUUAUAAAUAAAAGGCACCUUCUGAAGAAGAAUAAAAAGUCACGGUUGUGAGUUGCAUUCUUCUGAUUCCUUUUACACCAUCCCUUUUUUUUUUUUGCAUCCCUGUGUUUUGCCCUCUGGUAGGUUGGGACUGAUAGAGAGAUCUGUGAGUGAGGAUGGCGAUUUGCAAACCAUCCUACCAGGUGCCUAAUAAAAUGCAAAUCGAGACAUGCGGAGAAGAGAAGUUCUCUGUCCUUCUUUUUACAAAUAAAGUGUUACUUACCACUUGCGGGGAUCAGGAGCACCAUGCUGGGGCUGCAUCUGCUCUUUCUGACAGCUCCCCAAAGAGCCCUGUUUCUCUUUUUUGCAAGCCAGCAAGCUGUUCUUGGAGAG
rnacentral:lncRNA from 1 species